rnacentral:rRNA from 1 species
AUUGAACGCUGGCGGCAGGCCUAACACAUGCAAGUCGAGCGAGCGGCGGACGGGUGAGUAAUGUCUGGGAAACUGCCUGAUGGAGGGGUAUAACUACUGGAAACGGUAGCUAAUACCGCAUACCAUCAGAUGUGCCCAGAUGGGAUUAGCUAGUUGGUGGGGUAAUGGCUCACCAAGGCGACGAUCCCUAGCUGUUCUGAGAGGAUGACCAGCAACACUGGAACUGAGACACGGUACAGACGCCUACGGGAGGCAGCAGUGGGGAAGAUUGCACAAUGGGCGCAAGCCUGAUGCAGCCAUGCCGCGUGUGUGAAGAAGGCCUUCGGGUUGUAAAGCACUUUCAGCGAGGAGGCGUUACUCGCAGAAGAAGCACCGGCUAACUCCGUGCCAGCAGCCGCGGUAAUAC